UACGGGGGGAGCAAGCGUUGUUCGGAUUUACUGGGCGUAAAGGGCGCGUAGGCGGUAGCACAAGUCAGUUGUGAAAUCUCCGGGCUUAACUCGGAAAGGUCAACUGAUACUGUGCGACUAGAGUGCAGAAGGGGCAACUGGAAUUCUCGGUGUAGCGGUGAAAUGCGUAGAUAUCGAGAGGAACACCGGUGGCGAAGGCGGCAUCCUGGACCGGUAUUGACGCUGAGGAGCGAAAGCCAGGGGAGCAAACGGG
rnacentral:rRNA from 1 species